rnacentral:rRNA from 1 species
AGAGUUUGAUCAUGGCUCAGAUUGAACGCUGGCGGCAUGCUUUACACAUGCAAGUCGAACGGUAACAGGCCUUCGGGUGCUGACGAGUGGCGAACGGGUGAGUAAUGCAUCGGAACGUGCCCAGAGGUGGGGGAUAACGCAGCGAAAGCUGUGCUAAUACCGCAUGUGAUCUGAGGAUGAAAGCGGGGGACCAAGCAGCAAUGUUUGGCCUCGCGCCUCUGGAGCGGCCGAUGUCAGAUUAGGUAGUUGGUGGGGUAAAGGCCUACCAAGCCGACGAUCUGUAGCUGGUCUGAGAGGACGACCAGCCACACUGGGACUGAGACACGGCCCAGACUCCUACGGGAGGCAGCAGUGGGGAAUUUUGGACAAUGGGCGCAAGCCUGAUCCAGCAAUGCCGCGUGCGGGAAGAAGGCCUUCGGGUUGUAAACCGCUUUUGUACGGAACGAAAAGGCUCUGGCUAAUACCUGGGGCUGAUGACGGUACCGUAAGAAUAAGCACCGGCUAACUACGUGCCAGCAGCCGCGGUAAUAC